rnacentral:rRNA from 1 species
CAGUCGCCGCGGUAAUACGAGGGGGGCAAGCGUUGUUCGGAAUUAUUGGGCGUAAAGGGUGCGUAGGCGGUUUCGUAAGUCUUAUGUGAAAUCUAUGGGCUCAACCCAUAGUCUGCAUGGGAAACUGCGAGGCUUGAGGAUGGGAGAGGUGAGUGGAAUUUCCGGUGUAGCGGUGAAAUGCGUAGAUAUCGGAAGGAACACCUGUGGCGAAAGCGGCUCACUGGACCAUUUCUGACGCUGAUGCACGAAAGCUAGGGGAGCAAACAGGAUUAGAUACCCCAGUAGUCCCUGUCUCUUAUAC